rnacentral:pre_miRNA from 11 species
AUAUAUCUGCGCAUUUUGGGCGUGUGAUUUGUGGCAAAGUGAUGAGCUUGGAUUCCAUCCCCUUGUUGCAAACCUCACGCCAAAGGUGGCGCAU